CAGACUACAACCAAGUCCUACAGCCAGCCGACCUACCCAAGCCUAUAACCAAGACCUACAACCAUGCUGCUGUGGCUCGUAUCGGCAACAGCACUGGCACUGACAGCGCGAGUGACGCUGGCAGACACGCCCGCGAACUGUACCUUCGACGACGUCCGGGGUGACUGGCUGCUGUACGAGACGGAGAGGACGGGGCACGCGGGGAUCGACUGCGACGAUAUGGGUCCGAUCAUCCACAAAAAGGAAGUCAGUCUGAUGUAUCCGAACAUCGUGGUGGACCGAGGCAAAACCGAGGGACGUGGACCAUGAUCUACAACCAGGGAUUUGAAAUCAAGGUCGCGGGGAGGUCCUAUUUCGCUUUCUCGCUUUGGGAAAGGUGGUGGCGGGCGACUGGCGACACCGUGGUAUCUAUCUGCGACAAGACCCACACCGGGUGGUCGAGGGACAUCACCGUCAGGAACUGGGCGUGCUAUCGGGCGCAGAAGAAGGAGCCGAUGCCCCAGAAGACCCACGCCCUUCAGCUCAUGGCUCAGGAGAACUCCCUCUACAAGUACAACAAGGACUUCAUCAGCUCCAUCAACUCACACCAAAGCAGUUGGGUCGCUGACGUGUACCCGGAGUAUGAGACUAUGACCCUUAUGGACCAUCUCAGGCGCAACGGUGGAAGAGCGUCAGCCGUCGCCAGCCGAGCUCACUCAGGGCCUGUAAGUUUCAUGACCAGACUGCGUGACCUGUCCCUGCCCAAGGCGUGGGACUGGCGCAACGCCAGCGGGGUCAAUUACGUGUCUCCAGUCAGGAACCAGGGCAACUGUGGCUCCUGCUAUGCCUUUGCUUCCAUGGGUGGUCUGGAGUCUCGAGUUAGGAUUCUGACCAGCAACCACCAGAAGCCAGUUUUUGCACCACAGGAUAUUGUAGGAUGUUCAAAGCUCUCUCAAGGAUGUGACGGUGGUUUCCCAUUCCUUAUCGCUGGCAGGUAUGCACAAGAUGUUGGUGUUGUGCUGGAGAACUGUUACCCCUAUGAAGGCAAAGAUGACACAUGUGUUAGGACUUCCUGCACCAAACAUUACACAGCAUAUUACCGUUAUGUUGGAGGUUACUAUGGAGCCUGCAAUGAAGAGGAGAUGAAACUAGCUCUCAUCAAGGGAGGACCUCUUAUCGUGGGCCUCGAAGUCUACGAUGAUUUCCUCCAUUACAAGAGUGGUAUUUACCAUCACACAGGUCUUCAGGACAGAUUUAAUCCUCUUGAGCUGACAAAUCACGCAGUAUUACUCGUUGGAUACGGAGAAGACGAGGCAACUGGAGAAAAGUACUGGAGCGUUAAGAAUUCCUGGGGUGAAGAAUGGGGAGAGGAUGGUUACUUUAGGAUUCGUCGUGGUGUUGACGAGUGCGCCAUCGAAUCCAUGGCUGUGGAAGCUGUACCUAUCCCAUAAAAUAAAUAAUGACAAUAAUCAUAAGCUGUGGUAUGAAAGAUUUCAAUAUUGCAUUUGGCUUCUUUGGCAAGAUGUGACAGGCUAAUGUUGGUAAUAUUACUUGAUAGCAUUACUAGUUUUCAUAAUGAGAUUGUAAACAUGGUAAGCAACAUUUCAGGGAAAAAAAACAAAAAAAAAACAGAAGAGGUUUUCUGUACAAAAGAUAUAUCUAGAGAAAAUUUAUUAUGGAUUAGUAAUCAAAAUAUUCUUAUCAUAUUGGAUUCUCAUGCUAAUUCUUAGUAAUUAAAGAAGACUUCACAAGAAAUAAAGCUCAGGUUAUGAACAGCUUUGGAGACUAUUUGAAAUACAAUAAUUUGGUGUUUUUGUAAUUGUAAUUCCUUAUUGGAAAUUGACCUUCAACAAUAACAAAAAGGAACUGUGCAUUAUAGGCCAUCUUACCACUGCAUAUAUUAUGAUGUAUAUAUCUUUUUUCAUAUAUCACUUCUUACUUUUUUUUCGUUUUUCCUUAAAUACUCAGAGAAGCCACAAAUUAUCAAAACUAUUCAUUGUUUAUAUACUGUCAUCAUGUAACAUCUUCAGAUAUAUUUUCUAUAUCUCCUUUUAUAUGAUACAACAAUUAUCAACCAUGUAAAAGAUUAAAAAAUAAAAAAUAAAAAAAUG